AAUAAACAAACCCUGGAUUUUCAUGUCCAACGUUUGACUAUCCGUCUUAUAUGAAAUUUUUUUUAUAAUUAGUAUUUUCAUUAUUGUUAGAUGAUAAAACAUGAUUAAUACUUUAUGUGUGACUCAUCUUUUUUUUAUAUUAUUUUUAAAUAAGACAGAUGGACAAAACCCAAGGUUUCAAAUAAG
rnacentral:pre_miRNA from 1 species